GCUUCGAAAACACCACACGGUGUCAGUAGCGACCAGCCCACCACCACCACCACCAGCUCGUAUACAUGUGUGUCAGAUCGUCUGCGGCGGCGUUUAAAUGACAAGACAACUCGGGAAAGAGAUAGUGAUGACUGCUUUGGUGACGUUCUUUGCUGCUAUAUUCAUACUUCAGUAUGCAGGUGUCUUUGCAAUGCACAUCACUCCAGGAUCCCUAGAAGUGACAGGAUGUGACCUGCAGGACGUCACUGUGUUCACCUGGUAGCGGCAGUAUCUUGGGGAGCCCCCAGUGACUUUAGGAUCUCAUAACAGCAGGUGACUUCUGCCACCCAGAUUCUUUAUCACCUCUCUUCAGGCCACAAUGAAUGACAGUGACUGGAAAUAUGAUUUUAAUACUUGAAAAUGUCACCAAAGCUGAUGCUGGAGCAUAGUAUUGUGUGAAGAAAGAAGAUCAAAUAUCAGUGUUUGGAAAAGACUUAUGAAGAUGAUGAGCCAAGCCUUACCUCCCCAGGAUCCCAAGAUGUGAUAGAAUGUGACCUGCAGGACGUCCGUGUGAUCACCUGGUAUUGGCAGUACCUUGGAUUAAUUCUCUUCACGUCAGAAUGACUCAUUCCUGUGCAACUGAAAAUCCAGUUUUAAUCUACUACAACAUGUUAUUGUGUGAAGAAAGAAAAUCAAAAGAAGAAGAAAAGGUUGUCACCCUUGGAGAAAGAAGUGACGCAAUCUGCACUCACUGUCCCCGACUCUGUGAAGGUAUUUCAAGCCAGGAGGCUCACCGGCGGCCAUGUACUUAGUCCAACAGAUGUAAGUAGAGGUGCGGAUCUCAUGAGAGUCAGAAGUACUGUGUUUUAGGUGCUUGAUCACAUGUCGUGCUCACUCUCUCUUACACACACACACACACACACUCUGUAUGAUUCCUUUCAAGCCUGAUUUGUUCUGCUCUUUUUGAGGUCUGCAAGCACUUAGAGUUGAAGUGAGAAGUUUCUUUAAAACUCACUCUAUAAGCCCUCCACAGAUGUUCUACUAAGAAACUCUAAAUUUGGGGCUUUCUGCAGGGCAAAAGCCAUUUUUCCACAAUGUUCACAGACGUUCGAGUAUUUCACUUUUUAUUGAUGAUGUCACAGUUCCAGUGUGUCACAAGUUUACAUCCUGUUUGUUCAUAUUUGGUACCAUUGCCUUUUAAAUUGUUUAACUUCAGCCAAACAGUUUGGGUCGCCUUCCAGAAGCUUCUCACCAUAAGGAGUUUUUUUGCUCAUUCCUCCAGAUAGAACUGGUGUAACUGGGACAGGUUUGUAGGCCUCCAUUUCUCGCACGUUCAGAUGUUCAAUUGGAUUGAGGUCAGGGCUUUGUGGUGGCCACUCCACUACCUUGACCAUGUUGUCCUUAUGCCACUUUGCCUAAACUUUGGAGGUCUUCUUGUCCAUUUUGAAGACCCAUUUGCAACUGAGCUUCACCUUCCUCGCCUGUCUCUUGAGAUGUUGCUGCAGUGUCUCUCCAUCAUUUUCCUUCCUCAUGAUGCCAUCUAUUUUGUGAAGUGCGCCAAUCCCUCCUGCAGACCCCUUAAUAUGAUGCUUCCACCUCCAUGUUUGAUGGUUAGGAUUGUGUUCUCAGGCCCGCAAGCCUCACCC